rnacentral:rRNA from 1 species
CGCGUAGGCGGUUUGGUAAGUUAGGCGUGAAAGGCCCGGGCUCAACCCGGGAACUGCGCUUAAGACUGCCGGGCUGUGAGUCCGGGAGAGGAUGGCGGAAUUCCCAGUGUAGAGGUGAAAUUCGUAGAUAUUGGGAAGAACACCAGUGGCGAAGGCGGCCAUCUGGCCCGGUACUGACGCUGAGGCGCGAAAGCGUGGGGAGCAAACA